GGUAGAGAGGUAGAGGUAGAGAAAGACAGGGUGAAUAGGUAGAGAGAGGUAGAGAAAGACAGGGUGAAUAGGUAGAGGUAGAGAAAGACAGGGUGAAUAGGUAGAGAGAGGUAGAGAAAGACAUGGUGAAUAGGUAGAGAGAGGUAGAGAAAGACAGGGUGAAUAGGUAGAGAGAGGUAGAGAAAGACAGGGUGAAUAGGUAGAGAGAGGUAGAGAAAGACAGGGUGAAUAGGUAGAGGUAGAGAAAGACAUGGUGAAUAGGUAGAGAGAGGUAGAGAAAGACAGGGUGAAUAGGUAGAGCGAGGUAGAGAAAGACAGGGUGAAUAGGUA